rnacentral:sRNA from 1 species
AUGUACCACUCCCGCACGCCGGUUCUUUCGCGCCGUCCGCACCCACUCACGGCUGCUCGCUACAUUUUGUUAGCC